UACGUAGGGUGCAAGCGUUGUCCGGAAUUAUUGGGCGUAAAGAGCUCGUAGGCGGUCUGUCGCGUCUGCUGUGAAAUCCCGCGGCUCAACUGCGGGUCUGCAGUCGACUACGGGCAGGCUAGAGUUCGGUAGGGGAGACUGGAAAUUCCUGGUGUAGCGGUGAAAUGUGCAGAGUAUCAGGAGGAACACCGGUGGCGGAAGGCGGGU
rnacentral:rRNA from 1 species